ACAGUGCUCUGGUGAACAGUAGGAAUGAUUUCCUGUAACUUUCUUUGUGACAGUGGAGCUGAAUGAGUCUGUUAGAGAAGGAGCUCCACUGUCUCUGCAGUGUGUCGUGGAGGGGAUGGGUUGAUUUGUCUAUGAUGAAGAGCGCUCUGUUCAGUGACCUCUUGUCCCCUCACCGACUCAAACAUCUCCAGGUUCUGACCAGUGAUGCUCCCGGCCGUGAGGAUGGAGUUUAUUGAUCCUGCUUUUCCCCAGCAGACCACAGCACAGUAGAUGGCGCUCGCUACCACAGACGGGUACAAAGAUCUCCAGCAUCUUGCCACAUACAUUGAAAGAUCUGGGCUUCCUCAGAAAGAAGAGUCUGCUCAUCUUCAUCUUGAGACGGACAGAGACACUAAAGAGCUCUUCUAACUCUAGUGCAGUUCAUGGAUCUUUCCCGUCUUCCCUCGAGGAGAGCCAAAGUGGAACCAGAACUUCCGGAUUCUGUUCCAGACCCAUUUCCCAUAGGUCCCGGAGCGUGGCGGAUUAAAGAUUAAGGUUCAACAGAAGAGAGAGACCAGUGAAAGAAAUGCUGCGUGAGGGAGCGGACUGAACGGCAGAAGCUCGUGGAACAGACGCCUGUCACGACUUUGUCUGCGCCCACAGUUUUUUGUGUUUCUUUAUUUUCUUCUUUAGACCUUCAUUUUGCCGUCAACUUUUCUCCUGAAACGUGAGCAGGGUGAUCGAUCCUUGUCGUGAGGCUUCACGCACGGCCCCAUCGGUCUGCCCCUCUCUGAACCAUGUCAGCUGUGCAUCUACAGAGCAGUGUUAUAGGAGCAUCUCACUCUCUAAUCAUCUCAGGGAUCACAUGUGUUUCAUUACAUUAGUGUCUGUCUUUUGCUUACCUGUCUUUUUCUUAGAUAAACAUUUUCAUGUUUUUGUUAGAGAAACUCAGUCAGACGAGUUCAGGUACCAAUUCAUUGACUUCUAAUUUACUUUAAACUAUUUAUUUCAGACAAUUUAAAGUGGAUAUUGUUAAAGUAACUAUUUCAUACAAAUGAUAGUGACCCUGCAGUGUUUAGACUUGGUCUCUACUGGUCUUUCUUUUCAGCAGGUUUGCAGGUUUUUAACUUGAAGCUGGACAUUUCAACUAUUUAUGCAAUUUUUAUUUUAGCUAUUUAUUGUCAUUUCAACUAAUGCAGCUUGGUUGGAUGUGUGUCCUGUGCAGUUAGCUUAUUUUAGCUGGCAGUUUUUUGGUUAUUAGGAAUAAUAAAUGUAGAUAUAUAAAUAUAUAGAUCAGCCUCAGAAAAAUUUGUAAUUUGUAAAUCUACAGAUAUACACACAUUUUUCUAUUCUGCUCCACCAUCUUUCCACGUUCUCCCUGCUGACUGCAGAAGUACGCCAUGGGAUACACGUGGCUGGGAAUUACUGGGUCAUGUUCAUUGAUAUUAAGAUAGUGUAAACAUCACUUAAUCAAAGUUUCUAGAAAUAAAAAGUAGAACAUUUCUCUCUAGCUGAAUUUGAGAAUCACCCUAUUGUUAAAUGUCUGUGUUGUGCCUCGCAUUUUCCCAACUUGUGUCAACGGUUCAUUUCAAGUGUUACCCUCAUAAUACUCUUUGCAGAGGCCACUCGUGGUGCCAGCUAAACCUUGGGAUAGAACUGUCUUUUGUUUUAUUCUUAUAUCCCUCUUUCCCAUCUCACGAGGAACUCUCACUCUACUGUACGUCUGCUCUCGUUCUUAUAACUUAAGAAUCUUUUGUUAAUGGUUUUGUGUUUUCUUUUGGCAGUCGUAAAGUUUAGGAUUUAAAACUGUUAAUGACUUCUGGCUGUGCUUGCCCACUAUCAGCUUAUAUUAUCCUCUUUUCUCUUAUGGUCUUAAAGCAGUUUGGUUACACCGCACGUCCAACUAUUGAGAUUAAAUUGGUCUAUCAAAAGCAACACUUGUGGCCAGGUUCAUCCAGUGAUUUGGAUUUAUGUCCAUGGAAGUAAUAUGCAGAUUCUAAGAGUUAUUGUCUCAUUUUGCAUAAAAAUGUAGCACUUGCGCAAAAUCGCUUGAAAGUCUCUUUUCUGCACUUUGCUUUCAUUUCAUGAAAUAAAGA